rnacentral:rRNA from 1 species
GGAUUGCCCUAGUAACGGCGAGUGAAGCGGCAACAGCUCAAAUUUGAAAGCUGGCCUUCGGGUCCGCAUUGUAAUUUGUAGAGGAUGCUUUGGGGCAGCCGCCUGUCUAAGUUCCUUGGAACAGGACGUCAUAGAGGGUGAGAAUCCCGUAUGUGACAGGACAUGGCACCCUAUGUAAAGCUCCUUCGACGAGUCGAGUUGUUUGGGAAUGCAGCUCUAAAUGGGAGGUAAAUUUCUUCUAAAGCUAAAUAUUGGCGAGAGACCGAUAGCGCACAAGUAGAGUGAUCGAAAGAUGAAAAGCACUUUGGAAAGAGAGUUAAAAAGCACGUGAAAUUGUUGAAAGGGAAGCGCUUGCAAUCAGACUUGUUUAAACUGUUCGGCCGGUCUUCUGACCGGUUUACUCAGUUUGGACAGGCCAGCAUCAGUUUCGGCGGCCGGAUAAAGGCUCUGGGAAUGUGGCCUCCACUUCGGUGGAGGUGUUAUAGCCCAGGGUGUAAUACGGCCAGCCGGGACUGAGGUCCGCGCUUCGGCUAGGAUGCUGGCGUAAUGGUUGUAAGCGACCCGUCUUGAA